CAGUAUACUUUUCUAUAAGUCGAUUAAGCUGGAUUAUUAGUAGAUAAGUUCUUGAAAUUCAAAGAAUUUGGCGGCACCUUAAUCUUAUUAGAGGAACCUGUUUUAUAAACGAUAAACCACGAAAAAUCUUACUUACUUUAAAUAGUUUGUAUACCGUCAUUAUUAGAUGAUUUUUAAAGAAAAUAAUCAUUUAAAUUAACAAGUAGUUAAGUAUAUUAGAUCAAGGUGCAGUUCAUAGGUAAGAAAAAAUGGGUUACAAUAAAUUAAUUUAUACGGAAAGAUUUCUUAAAAUAAAACGGUAAGGCGGAUUUAAUUGUAUAUAAAUUUUAACAAGUUUAAUAGAAAUUAGCUCUGAGGUGUGU
rnacentral:rRNA from 1 species